GGUUUGAGAAUUGACUUUUACUUGAGUUUCCCCCAUAAUCUUCACUGUAUAUCACUCAGCUGCAGGAAUAAUAGAUUUUUGCAUUAAGUCUGAUAGAACGAGUGUAGAUUUAUCAUUCAGCAACUAAAGGUGUAAAAUGCUCAUUCACUGCACGGGAGUAAUUGAAUUAUAACCCUCGUUUUCUUUACCACAGUGCAGUCACCCCUCCACGCUCCCCGAAGAAAAUGGUGACCGUCUCUUAGCAGCUGAGCACCCUGGCGGUCAGAUAUGAACCUGAGAGGAAUUUGGGUCCCGAUGAAGGAGGCAUUGUCUUGUGACCUCGAUUGUGGGUCACGUGACACGCAGAGGUCAAGCCAUCUCCGUGACCUGGCGUGAAGGAAGGAAGGAAGGAAGGAGGGAAGGAAAGAAGGAAUGAAGGAGGGAAAAAGGAAAGCAGGACGAAAUUGCAUCUUUGGAUCCGGUCCUUAAAAAAAAAGAAAAGAAAAAAAGAGAAAGAAGCUGCAGAUCCAGAGAGGAGGGAAGGAGGCAACGAGAAAGAAAGGUAAAAAAGAAAAAAGAAUAGAAAGAAAGAGGAAGAGAAGGAGGAGGAGGAGGAGGAGGAAGAAGAAGAAGAAGAAUUGUAUUUUGAUACGUUCUUAAAAGGAAAGGAAAUUUGAAUAUACAGGAAAAAGAAGAAAAUGGAAAGGAGGAGGACGGGGGAGGAGGAGGAGGAGGAAGAAGAAGAAGAGGAAGAGGAAGAAGA